rnacentral:rRNA from 1 species
CCUACGGGUGACAGCAGUGGGGAAUAUUGGGCAAUGGGCGCAAGCCUGACCCAGCAACGCCGCGUGAAGGAAGAAGGCCUUCGGGUUGUAAACCCCUUUUUUCAGGGACGAAGCAAGUGACGGUACCUGAGUAAUAAGCCACGGCUAACUACGUGCCAGCAGCCGCGGUAAUACGUAGGUGGCAAGCGUUAUCCGGAUUUACUGGGUGUAAAGGGCGUGUAGGCGGGAAAGCAAGUCAGAUGUGAAAACCAUGGGCUCAACCUGUGGCCUGCAUUUGAAACUGUUUUUCUUGAGUACUGGAGAGGCAGACGGAAUGCCUAGUGUAGCGGUGAAAUGCGUAGAUAUUAGGAAGAACACCAGUGGCGAAGGCGGUCUGCUGGACAGCAACUGACGCUGAGGCGCGAAAGCGUGGGGAGCAAACAGGAUUAGAUACCCGAGUAGUC